AGCACUAUAUUUAAACCUAUGGAUGGGAAAUGUCCCCAUUCUAGGUUACGCUGUAGUGCGAGAAGAAUUCCUGGCGCCUCAUUGCACAGCUGACUCGCGCCGUUUGGCUGUUGCUCUGUGAGCUAAGGGACAUGA
rnacentral:snoRNA from 14 species